AGGGAAAUUAGACUCCUUGCUACCUCAAAGCCUGUCAUUGCAUCGAUGGCUGAUGUGGCGGCUAGCAGAGGAUACUAUAUGGCAAUGGCUGCAGGGGUUAUAGUUGCAAAGGAUCUUACAUUAACAUGAUCUAUUGGUGUUGUGACAGGUCGAUCCUAUUUCAUUUGGGGUUUAGUAUGAUAAGAUAAAGAACUCAUUGUGUGCUCUCUGGACUUGCUGAAGGUCUUAGUAGUGGGAUAGAGAGGGAAAUGUGUGGAGGCUUUUGCUAGGAAUGACGGGAAAAGGUCUUUUGAUGAGCUUGAAGAAGAUGUGUUGCAGGGCCAGAAAUUACAAAUGGAUGAACUCGUGCACAAAGACAAAUUGUACAGGACAAAUUGGCACUUUUUUGUAUUCUUGGAAGGAUUAUAAAUUUUUGUAUAGAUGUAUAUGGAAAAUAUUAGGGUAGACUAGUAGUUAUAUUUUUGGAUGGGUGUGUAUGGAAAAUAUUUGGUAGACUACUAGUUAUAUUUUUGGG